UACGUAGGUGGCAAGCGUUGUCCGGAUUUACUGGGCGUAAAGAGCGCGCAGGCGGUCGGAUAAGUCGAAUGUGAAAGCCCCCGGCUCAACUGGGGAGGGUCAUUCGAUACUGUUCGACUCGAAGGCAGGAGAGGGAAGUGGAAUUCCAGGUGUAGCGGUGAAAUGCGUAGAUAUCUGGAGGAACACCGGUGGCGAAGGCGGCGUUCUGGACUGUAACUGACACUGAAGAACGAAAGCCAGGGGAGCAAACGGG
rnacentral:rRNA from 1 species